AGUUUUAAGAUAUGGCAAGGGCACCUUUGAAGAAGGAGGUUUUCUUCAGCAUGAUUUUCUUGUUGACUGGUUAGCUUAAAAAGGCAAGGGAUUAGGUGACUCCACAAUUAGCAGGUAAUGAGCAGUCUUUGCAGGCAAGGAACAUUUUGAUGGUGAGUAGGAAGAGAAACUUCCUAUCCUCCUCAUGGAAAAAAGGCCUUACAAGAGUUUUUGUGUAGGAAUAAAAGCAUUUUGACUCAAAACUAGCUGCACCCCAUGCUCAGUUUUCUACCCCCUUAGCAGGGCAGAUCCAGAGGGGGUUCACUGGAAUGGACACAUGCCCCUUUGAUUCUUGCUUCACUCACUCAGCAGCUGCACUGAGGGAUCCUGACCUGCCAGUGCUCCAUGGCACUGGGCUGGAAGUCUCCUUUUCAGGAGGAGGCUAGAGGAGCAAAACAGUAAAAAGAAGACACAAGGAAAAAGGCAGAAUGGGAACAGGCAUUCACUUCACUGCAACCAGUGCAGGUUUAGGCAGCUUACUUUAAGCUGCUUAAACCUAGACCAAGAGUGGUGCAUAAAGCUGUUUGCCACUGUCAAGAGAAGAACAUGCAGCCAAUCCUACACUUCUAAACGCAGUGCGGGUACCCCAAGGACCAUGGCACUCUGAUUGGAAAUCACUGCUUCAGAGUACUCAGAAGAGCUGCACCAACGGCUGAUUAUCAUAAAGGACCGCUUUAGGUGUAAUACUCCAAGACUGUCCUUAAAAUGGCAGAAGCAUCCCUAAGUGAAGCAAAAAAGGUGCAGAAGCUGGGAACCAGCCACGUAGAGGCAUGACAUGGUUAAGAUGAAACAACAGCUAUUUUAAGUGGGUAGAUCAGGGAGCAUUUUAAAAUGGGUUUUGUUUUGAUACUUAAUGAAGCAAGGCUUUCAGGACACAUUUCCCUCCCCAUUGGAAGAAGAAAAGUAAAUCAAUAGCUAAAGGAAAUGCCUACAGAAGAUUAAGUUGCAUGAGUCAGUGGGUUCUAGGUGAAAAAACACUCACACUCAAAUAGGGGCACCCCUGUAUUCUGUCCUCCCUACUAGCAACAUUUUGAUACAUUAAUGCAUUUUAGCAGACAAGAAAAUGUCAUUAAAAUGUCUCAGCUAGGAAAAUAUUAGAACACUGGGGAAAAAGCAACAAAUACCCACAAGACAAAUGUAACAAUGCGUUUGUUCCACCACCCCCCCAAAAAAAAAACCAAGAACAAAACCCAGCCAUUUAAACAUACACAUUUCACCACAGUCUCAUACUUUUUGUGCAGUGAAAGUGAAGGUCACUGAGAGAAUCAUUGCAUAGCAAACUCUUGGUAAUUGUUGACUACACAGAAACCACUGUAAAGGCAUGACACUGAAGGAAGCUGGCUGGUAACAAGUAGUUUUAAAUGCAGUUGUUCACCCGAUGUUGUCAGUGAGGAGGAAUAAUUUGACUACCUUUCUUUUUAGGAAGAAAUCUGGUAUAGUGCAUGUGACAUG